AUGGUUUUAUCAGGGGCUUCUCCCUUCACUUGACACUCAAUCCUGCUGCUCUGUGAAGAAGGUGCCUGCUUUUCCUUUGCCUUCUGCCAUGAUUGUAAGGUUCCUGAGGCCUCCCCAGCAAUGUAGAACUAUUGUAACCUCCUGGAGGGCAAAGGCUGUGUCUGCCUCAUCUGUGCAUUUCCACCACCCAAUCUGUAGUAGAUGUUUCUUGAAUAAAUGGUCUUAUUUCCUUUGUGGGCAGUAUGAUGGAUCCCAGUGCUCUGUAUAUUUGAGAAUCUUCAUGUGGCUUCUCAGCAGCUGCUACUGAGACAUUAGAAAGCCCAUAAUCAGCACCAUGAUGUUGUUAAAAGAACACCAGAAAUAAAUUAACCAGCCAACUCAAGGAUAUAUACACCUAAUGACAGUGACAGAAAUGAGUCGAUAUCAUGUUUACUGACUUCCCCCAGCAAAUGUAACAGAGAGUUGACUUUCCU
rnacentral:lncRNA from 1 species